GCGCACCAGGCGAGAAACCUCCGCAAUACACGAAAGUGUGACGGGGCCAUCCCGAGUGCCGUCCGCUGAGGACGGCUUUUCCCCAGUGUACACAGCUGGGGGAAUAAGGAGAGGGCAAGCCUGGUGUCAGCCGCCGCGGUAAUACCAGCUCUCCGAGUGGUGGGGACGCUUAUUGGGCCUAAAGCAUCCGUAGCCGGCUGGGCAAGUCCUCCGUUAAAUCCAACGAUUCAAUCGUUGGGCUGCGGGGAUACUGUCCAGCUUGGGGGCGGGAGAGGCCGACGGUAUUCCCGGGGUAGGGGUGAAAUCCUAUAAUCCCGGGAGGACCACCAGCGGCGAAGGCUGUCGGCUAGAACGCGCCCGACGGUGAGGGAUGAAAGCUGGGGGAGCGAACCGGAUUAGAUACCCGGUAGU
rnacentral:rRNA from 1 species